rnacentral:SRP_RNA from 1 species
GCCAGGUAUGGUGGUGCAUGCCUGUAAUCCCAGCUAUUUGGGAGGCUGAGACAGGAGAAUUGCUUGAACCCAGGAGGUGGAGGUUGCAGUGAGCCACGAUCGUGCCACUGCACUCCAGCCUGGGCAAGAGAGCGAGACCCUGUCUCAA